AUUUUCAACAUGCCUCUCGAUUGGAGACGGAUUCAUCACGUUGAUAGGUUGAUUUUCAACAGGCCUCUUGGAUUGGAGACGGAUUCAUCACGUUGAUAGGUUGAUUUUCAACAGGCCUCUUGGAUUGGAGACGGAUUCAUCACGUUGAUAGGUUGAUUUGUAUUUAUAGAUUUUUGUUUAUUUAACUGUUACAGCCUAUCAAUAUGAAAGAAAGAAAGGGAGAAUAGAUGUCGCUUGCUGCAAGCGAUGUGUUACUCAAGUACCUACAGUAGGCCUAUAAAGUAUAUAACCUUUAAAAAAAAACAUUUAAGCUGUGAACUUCAGGGUUUAAGAACAGAAUAAAGUUAUAAAUAAAGUUAUAAAUAAAGACUCGUUCGUCCAUCCUCUCAUAGUAAAGAGUGGGGUCGUGACCUGGGACAAAGGUGUUUGAGCAGGCAUUCUAUUAGACUGACGAUCAUUCAAUAACUAGUAUGCUGUUACAUAGUGAUUCAAUCAUUUCUUUCUAAUUACAUACACUCCAUCUCUCUGUCUCUCUCUUCCCCUACCCUCCCUCCAUCUCUCUGUCUCUCUCUCUCCCUACCCUCCCUCCAUCUCUCUCUCUCUCUCUCUUCCCCUACCCUCCCUCCAUCUCUCUGUCUCUCUCUCUCCCUACUCUCCCUCCAUCUCUCUCUCUCCCUACCCUCCCUCCAUCUCUCUCUCUCCCUACUCUCCCUCCAUCUCUCUCUCUCCCUACCUUCCCUCCAUCUCUCUCUCUCUCUCUCCCUACCCUCCCUCCAUCUCUCUCUCUCUCUCUCUCCCUACCCUCCCUCCAUCUCUCUCUCUCUCUCCCUACCCUCCCUCCCUACAUCUCACUAUCUCUCUCUCACUCUUCCUACCCUCCCUCCAUCUCUCUCUCUCUCUCUCCCUACUCUCCCUCCAUCUCUCUCUCUCUUCCCCUACCCUCCCUCCAUCUCUCUGUCUCUCUCUCUCUCCCUACUCUCCCUCCAUCUCUCUCUUCCCCUACCCUCCCUCCAUCUCUCUGUCUCUCUCUCUCCCUACCCUCCCUCCAUCUCUCUGUCUCUCUCUCUCCCAACUCUCCCUCCAUCUCUCUCUCUCCCUACCUUCCCUCCAUCUCUCUCUCUCUACUCCCUCUCACCAUCUCUCUCUACACUCCUACACGCCCGUGCUUUUGUAGUCUUAUAGACGACAACAACAAAUGUCACAAUAAGCUUCUCAAUAAGCGGUUUCUUAUAGCGUAGUGAGAGACUACUGUGUGUCAGUGCCCUUUACAGUGUAUUCAGACCCCUUCACUUUUUUCCACAUUUUGUUACAUUACAGCCUUUAUUCUAAAAUUGAUUAAAUAUUCUCCUUGUCAAUCUACACACAAAACUCCAUAAUGACAAAGUGAAAACAGGCUUUUAGAAUUUUUUGUAAAUGUACUAAAAAUUCAAAACAGAAAUGCCUGAUAAGUAUUCAGACCCUUUGUUAUGAGAUUUGAAAUUGAGUUCAGGUGCAUCCUGUUUCCGUUGAUCAUCCUUGAGAUGUUUCCAGAACUUGAUUGUGCUUAAAUUCAAUUGAUUGGACAUGAUUUGGAAAGGCACACACCUGUCUAUAUGAGGUCCCACAGUUGACAGGACACUUCAGAGCAAAAACCAAGCCGUGGGGUCGAAGGAAUUGUCCGUACAGCCACAAGACAGGAUUGUGUCGAGGCACAGAUCUGGGGAACGGUACCAAAACAUUUCUCCGGCAUUGAAGGCCCCCAAGAACGCAGUGGCCUCCAUCAUUCUUAAAUGGAAGAAGUUUGGAACCACCAAGACUCUUCCUAGAGCUGGGCGCCCGGCCAAACUGAGCAAUCGGGGAGAAGGGCCUUGGUCAGGGGAAAAGGGCCUUGACCAAGAAACUGAUGGUCACUCUGACAGAGCUCCAGAGCUCCUCUGUGGAGAUGGGAGAACCUUCCAGAAGGACAACCAUCUCUGCAGACAGAAUCCACUCGUCAGUAAAAGGCACAUGACAGCCCGCUUGGAGUUUCUAAAAGGCACCUAAAGGACUCUCAGAUCAUGAGAAACAAGAUUCUCUGGUCUGAAUGCAAAGCGUCACGUCUGGAGGGAACCUGGCACCAUCCCUACAGUGAAGCAAGGUGGUGGCAGCAUCAUGCUGUGGGGAUGUUUUUCAGCGGCAGGGACUGGGAGACUAGUCAGGAUCGAGGGAAAGAUGAACGGAGCAAAGUACAGAGAGAUCAUUGAUGAAAACCUGCUACAGAUCGCUCAGGACCUCAGACUGGGGCGAAGGUUCGCUUUCCGGCAGGACCAUGACCCUAAGCACACAGCCAAAACAACGUAUGAGUGGCUUCGGGACAAGUCUCUGAAUGUCCUUAAGCUGUGCAGCGACGCUCGCCAUUCAACCUGACAGAGCUUGAGAGGAUCUGCAGCGAAGAAUGGGAGAUACUCCCCAAAUACAGGUGUGCCAAGCUUCAUACCCAAGAAGACUCAAGGCUGUAAUCGCUGCCAAAGGUGCUCUAACAAAUUACAGAGUAAAGGGUUUGAACACUUAUGUAAAUUAGAUAUUUUAGUUGUUUUUUUUUAAUACAUUUUAAACAAUUUUGAAAAACCUGUUUUUGCUUUGACAUUAUGGGGUAUUGUGAUGUCAUUAUGGGGUAUUGUAAUGUCAUUAUGGGGUAUUGUAAUGUCAUGGGGUAUUGUAAAUGUCAUUAUGGGGUAUUGUGAUGUCAUUAUGGGGUAUUGUGAUGUCAUUAUGGGGUAUUGUAAUGUCAUUAUGGGGUAUUGUAAAUGUCAUUAUGGGGUAUUGUAAUGUCAUUAUGGGGUAUUGUAAUGUCAUUAUGGGGUAUUGUAAAUGUCAUUAUGGGGUAUUGUGAUGUCAUUAUGGGGUAUUGUGAUGUCAUUAUGGGGUAUUGUGAUGUCAUUAUGGGGUAUUGUGAUGUCAUUAUGGGGUAUUGUGAUGUCAUUAUGGGGUAUUGUGAUGUUAUUAUGGGGUAUUGUGAUGUCAUUAUGGGGUAUUGUGAUGUCAUUAUGGGGUAUUGUGAUGUCAUUAUGGGGUAUUGUGAUGUCAUUAUGGGGUAUUGUGAUGUCAUUAUGGGGUAUUGUGUGUAGAUUGAUGAGAAGAAAAUAUAUAUAUUUUAGAAUAAGGCUGUAACGUAGCAAAAUGUGGAAAAAGUCAAGGGGUCUGAAUAAUUUCCGAAUGCUCUGUAUGUGUCAGAUCUGACCGUUUUUUUGUUUGUAUAUUUCUUACUCCUUAGUUGCAAGUUAAGGCUGUGUGUUUGGUGUGUACCAUUUGUUUUACAGGUAGCCUACAGUACCUGCCUUUUUUCUGAAAUCUUUCUCGUCCUCAUUCUGCCUCUGUUCAUACCUUUGCCCCAAAGUUUUACCCGUUCCAGUGACAGGAAAACUCCUGGUCAUAUUACAGUACGGAGCCUUCCUCUGCGCCACGUCACUCCCAUCUGAACUAUCUAUGUCACUGUGUCACAUUAUUUCCUAUUAAGUUAUAGUUUAAGGUAGAGAAGUCUAUUAAGUUAUAGUUUAAGGUAGAGAAGUCUAUUAAGUUAUAGUUUAAGGUAGAGAAGUCUAUUAAGUUAUAGUUUAAGGUAGAGAAGUCUAUUAAGUUAUAGUUUAAGGUAGAGAAGUCGUCUCAUGAGGAUUUUCAUUGAUGUUGUACUUUUUUUUAUCUUCAUUUAAACAAAAUGGUUUUACUUCACUGUGUAAUUGUUUAAUUUAUACAGAUAUUCACAACCCUUUACCACAACGACCAUAGUGUGAUUGACUGGCUAGAGAACCAACCCAACCCUGCUAUAAUUCUAAGUGUUCCUAGAUGUUACCCUCUGGGAGCUGGUCUUCAGGUCCCAGACACGGCUACAUGGUUCAUGGUUCAUCAACAGGACAACUACCAUAUAACUGUCUUUUAUCAUCAGUCCC
ensembl:lncRNA